rnacentral:rRNA from 1 species
GUGGGGAAUAUUGGACAAUGGGGGGAACCCUGAUCCAGCCAUGCCGCGUGUGUGAAGAAGGCCUUUUGGUUGUAAAGCACUUUAAGCGAGGAGGAGGCUACCGAGAUUAAUACUCUUGGAUAGUGGACGUUACUCGCGGAAUAAGCACCGGCUAACUCUGUGCCAGCAGCCGCGGUAAUACAGAGGGUGCAAGCGUUAAUCGGAUUUACUGGGCGUAAAGCGCGCGUAGGUGGCCAAUUAAGUCAAAUGUGAAAUCCCCGAGCUUAACUUUGGAAUUGCAUUCGAUACUGGUUGGCUAGAGUAUGGGAGAGGAUGGUAGAAUUCCAGGUGUAGCGGUGAAAUGCGUAGAGAUCUGGAGGAAUACCGAUGGCGAAGGCAGCCAUCUGGCCUAAUACUGACACUGAGGUGCGAAAGCAUGGGGAGCAAACAGGAUUAGAAACCCCAGUAGUCC